GUCCUAUGGAGGAGGCAGCAGAGACUCUGCUCUCCUCGUUUGGAUUAAUUCUGAUAUAAUAACUGUUGGUUUAUUUAUCGGUGGAGCAGCACAACAUUUUCCACAGACAGUUUUCCUGCCUGUUGGCUUGUUUAACCAGUUUUCUACCUUCGGCUGAUUCUACCAGCAGACACUGAAAGGACUCUGAUAGUUCGAAUGAAAGCAGCAAUUCCUCCUUAAGGUCAGAGAUUGCAGCAUCUGAGGGCCUCUUCAAAAGAAGACGUAGUUGAUGAAGGCGUUCUGGAGCAGGACCAGAAAGACCACGACCAAGCAGCCUUGAGAUCUUAGGCAGCGUCUCCCUCGGACCAAAGAACUACAGACUCUUCACAACCUGCUCAAACUCUUGGUACAGGACCUCACCACAUGGGUCAAGAAGGUUUCCGUCUCAUUUCUACUCUGAAGCUCACCUUCUCCUGCUCAAACUGCUGACAAAUGUUUCUGCUGCUCUAAAGUCUGGUCU
ensembl:lncRNA